UAACUCUCUUUCUCUCUCUCACUUGGAGGCUGCCCUUAGGUGGUGCUUCCUUUUAAAAUUAAUGUUUUAGUUAGUGUUGGGGCUCUAUCAUUCUGGAGUUGUUAGCAGGAGUUUGUUAUUUAUCUUGUAUCUUUACUUUCAUGUAUGACUUGAAUUAUUUAAUAUAUUCUUUCUUUACUUCAUGUGAGUAUUUACAUCCUUUUCUUGCAAUAAUGCAUCAUCGUGGUGAUUGAAUGUCUUUUAGACCUUAUUUAGAGUUGCUUUGCGAGGUAAUUCCUAGUUCGGUUUGUCAUGCUUGUGGGGACCUUAU
rnacentral:lncRNA from 7 species